rnacentral:rRNA from 1 species
CGGCAGGCCUAACACAUGCAAGUCGAACGGUAACAGGAAAUAGCUUGCUAUUUUGCUGACGAGUGGCGCACGGGUGCGUAACGCGUAUACAAUCUGCCUUUAAGCGGGAAAUAGCCCAUGGAAACGUGGAUUAAUGUCCCAUAGUAUGGAGACUUCACCUGGAGAUUUCAUUAAACAUUUAUGGCUUAAAGAUGAGUAUGCGUCCUAUUAGUUAGUUGGUAAGGUAACGGCUUACCAAGACCGCGAUAGGUAGGGGUCCUGAGAGGGAGAUCCCCCACACUGGUACUGAGACACGGACCAGACUCCUACGGGAGGCAGCAGUGAGGAAUAUUGGACAAUGGAGGCAACUCUGAUCCAGCCAUGCCGCGUGCAGGAAGACGGCCCUAUGGGUUGUAAACUGCUUUUAUACGGGAAGAACCACAUCUACGUGUAGAUGCUUGACGGUACCGUAUGAAUAAGGACCGGCUAACUCCGUGCCAGCAGCCGCGGUAAUACGGAGGGUCCAAGCGUUAUCCGGAAUCAUUGGGUUUAAAGGGUCCGUAGGCGGGAUAAUAAGUCAGUGGUGAAAGUCUGCAGCUCAACUGUAGAAUUGCCAUUGAUACUGUUGUUCUUGAAUUAUUAUGAAGUGGUUGGAAUGAGUAGUGUAGCGGUGAAAUGCAUAGAUAUUACUCAGAACACCUAUUGCGAAGGCAGAUCACUAAUAAUAUAUUGACGCUGAGGGACGAAAGCGUAGGUAGCGAACAGGAUUAGAUACCCUGGUAGUCUACGCCGUAAACGAUGGUUACUAGCUGUCCGGCCUAAUUGAGGGCUGGGUGGUUAAGCGAAAGUGAUAAGUAACCCACCUGGGGAGUA